rnacentral:rRNA from 1 species
AUUGAACGCUAGCGGGAUGCUUUACACAUGCAAGUCGAACGGCAGCACGAAAAGAGCUUGCUCUUUUUGGUGGCGAGUGGCGAACGGGUGAGUAAUGUAUCGGAACGUACCCAGUAGCGGGGGAUAACUACGCGAAAGCGUGGCUAAUACCGCAUACGCCCUACGGGGGAAAGGGGGGGUCGCAAGACCUCUCACUAUUGGAGCGGCCGAUAUCGGAUUAGCUAGUUGGUGGGGUAAAGGCUCACCAAGGCAACGAUCCGUAGCUGGUUUGAGAGGACGACCAGCCACACUGGGACUGAGACACGGCCCAGACUCCUACGGGAGGCAGCAGUGGGGAAUUUUGGACAAUGGGGGAAACCCUGAUCCAGCCAUCCCGCGUGUGCGAUGAAGGCCUUCGGGUUGUAAAGCACUUUUGGCAGGGAAGAAACGGCGCUGACUAAUACUUGGCGCAACUGACGGUACCUGCAGAAUAAGCACCGGCUAACUACGUG